AGUAGCACUUGGAACCCCAGGAUGUAACUCCUACAGUUAAUCCACGCCAACUUUCUUCUGCUUCCUGGGAAGUACCAAACUUUCCUGCCUCAGUGUCUUCAUACUUUGUUUCUUCAGACUGGAAGACUUUUCUCCUCUUAAGUGUAGUCAUGUCCUUUAUCACUUAACUGUCAGCUUAAAUGAGUCUAUGAGCAACCUUCCUUGAAUCAUAAGUGUUUUGAUGGGGCUCUUCUGCUAGACUGUAAGUUAUACUGUGAGAACAUGUUCUCCUUUGACCAAUAGCUAAGACCUUUUAGCAGCAGAAUAUAUUUCAAUAUAUUCAGUGAAAAUCAGUGCAGGACAUUCUCACUGAGAGACCAGGGAAUGAGGGAUCACCUGGAUAGUGGAGGAAGGACAAGGAUGAUACUAACCAGGUUUGAUGUGAUAGCUUGAGCAUCACUGAGUUCAACCUAGGGCUUAGGUCCAGAAAGGUUUGGGAGAGAGCCAUCGUGUCCCUUAACAGGGCCACACUAUGCAGUUUGGAGUUUCUUGAUGUAACAGUGGAGGCCUAGAAAUAGCCUAUGUGCCCAAGAAGAAUCCUUUUCCCUCAGGAAGCAAUGCCAAACUGUAAUGGAGCCAAUGUGAUGGUGAUUCUGCCAGUCUAGUUAACAGGAAAAUCAAACAAGCUCAUAGAAGUUAGCUGACAGAAUUCAUAGGAAGAACUGGAUCCGGAGGAAUUAGAUGGUUAAAGAAUCUAAUUACGCACCCAAUUGGCAUCCUGCUCUCAGCCUUCACAUCUGAUCAUGGGUCCUCAUCCUACAAUGAGGGAUUCUAAGUUUUAUCCUUGAAGUGUAUGAAAAGCUACUUCCUGAAUAUGAGGGCUGAGCUAUGUCUUUAUUCUCAUAUUUCAGAAUAAAGAUCCAUAAUCCUAGUAAAUUCUGAAGCUACUGUGUCAUGAAAUGCAGAAGUUCACAAACAUCUGUCAACACUUGCUGAUGAGACUGCUGAAGCAGCAAGGCUGUGAUGACUCUUGGUAGGAAUAUCUCAGCAUCAUGUGAUUCCUACCACCUGAGAAUGGAGCAAAGCAGCCUCUUUGCCGCCCCAAGCUCAGUGCUCCGUAGACUGAAAAAAAGAUGCAGUCGACAAACAGCUGAGGAGGCUUCAUGAAUGCUGCACACAGCAACUUCAGAGUUCCUCUCUGAACAGGUGGUAAUAGAUGUUAGUAGCCCUCCCAAAAUGCCAAACGUCUUCCCUCCCCUCUGAAGUUAUUAACCGAUUAAACAGGCACAAGCAAACAGAUCAGAAAUAGAGCAUUAGCUUUAUUGCACAAUCAAAUCAUUUUUGUCUCCUGGGAGGAGUAAGACCAAGAGGGACCAGAAAGGUUCAUUUCUGGGAAAUAAGGUAGAAAUCCUCAGGGGGGAAAGAGGAAAAGACAAUAUGGAAUAAGGGUCUUUUCCUGCUCUUGUGUCCCAAGCUCUGAAUUCUUCUUAACUAUUGAACUUAAUACAAAUUGUAAAUUGGUUAUGGUUCUCCCAGUGGAGGAGAACAGCUUGGUAAUGGGAUAGUCCUACUUAUAUGACAUAUAACUAAUUCUAGACACUAACCACUUACUUCUUAAAUUCAGGCUAGUAAUGAUCCGAAUUGUUCCUUUACAUUGCUUUGAGGGCCUUUUAGGAACAAAGAAACCAAGCAGCUGACCUAAUGCUGUCUACCUCAGCAUAGCUCUAGAAACUUAAAGUCCCAGAUCUCACACCACUGACUUCUAGACUCAUGAAAUUUAGUUGAUCUUUUUUUUUCCGGUUAAACCCUGAAAAUGCAAUCCUGACUUAGAAGUGGUAAAAAGAAACCUAAGCUCUCUUGGCAAAAAUUAUUCCAUUCACCAAUUCCCAGAAAAGCCUGUAUUGAGGUCUCUAGG
rnacentral:lncRNA from 1 species